AUUGAACGCUGGCGGCAUGCCUUACACAUGCGAGUCGAACGGCAGCGCGGGAGCAAUCCUGGCGGCGAGUGGCGAACGGGUGAGUAAUACAUCGGAACGUGCCCAAUCGUGGGGGAUAACGCAGCGAAAGCUGUGCUUAUACCGCAUACGAUCUACGGAUGAAAGCAGGGGAUCGCAAGACCUUGCGCGAAUGGAGCGGC
rnacentral:rRNA from 1 species